UGCAAAUACUAUACUGCUGUAUGACUUCUUCCAGAACCAUGAAUUGGAACAAAAAGAGAAGCAAGAAAAUGGAUGUUUGGAAUUGCUAGGAAAUCCUCAUUAUUUGAGACUGUGUAACAUGCUUGCUAUCUAAAAGGAAGGUUUUGACAGUUUAAUUCAUUUGACUUUUCUUUUAAUCAAGUGCCUCCACUAUACAUCAUCCACACGUUUAGGAGCGUCCAUCUUCCACGUCAGCAGCAGCACACCCUGCAAAUCUUCAGGUUGUGGGACGCAGUCACCUUUGUUUCAAGGACAAGGGGCUAUAGGGGAAAAGUGUUUCUCUGGGGCCUUAACAGUGUUGGUUUUGAAAGCAAAGGUUUAGGGUUAUGUUUUAUGCAGUCUUAACACUGAGCACCAGACCCCUACUGACAGAAGUGGCUGUAUGUUCCUUAAUAAAUGUAUCUUUAUAGGUUUGUGAUGCCCAGUGCAGGAGCCCAUCCUGCCAGUUGGUGGGCAGAAUUGCUGGCUGUACUUGUGCGGUGCUGGUGCCUGGCAACAGUAACUCUGCUCUUGAGAUUUGUCCAAACCCCAUUAAAGUCAAAAUACAGGACUGUGCCUGCCCUGCGAUUUCUGCCCCCGCCAACGACUUGUGCAAGCAAGCAUCCUGCUGCCAAACGGAGAUGGAAGGAUUUGUCACUUUUUCCAAGGUCGCGACUGGAGUUACAGAUCUCAGGAUAAGGGUAACAGUGCCUGUUACUUUUCACUCCCUCAAGGACGUUCCUCAAGAGAAGUAACAAAUGCUCGGAUUUCCACAAAAAUUUGAAAACUCAGGUGUGUUUGAAAUGAAUGCUCUGAAAAUACUUGUUGCCUGUAAUUGGAAUUAU
rnacentral:lncRNA from 1 species